GCCCCCAUCGUCUAGAGGUCUAGGACGCCACCCUUUCAAGGUGAGAACAGGGAUUCGAAUUCCCUUGGGGGCACCA
rnacentral:tRNA from 1 species